rnacentral:lncRNA from 1 species
CCCUCUCGGUUUUAACUCUUCAUUGUUUCUCAAAUCUACUUCUAGGAGAGGAAAGCUGUUUUGAUGGGAGUCUGCGCUAAAAUCUCCCAGCUUAGAGAUCCCCAUGGUGAGGACUCACGUUCCUCAUCUAGGUAAACUCCUGGGUAGGGCCUGACUCUUCAGAGGAAUUUUUUAAUCUCCCCCCAGAGGUGCCCAUGUCAAGGAGAUGCUAGAGCAGAAGCUCAAGAGCAGUGAUUAACCAACCACAGCUGAAAGCCCAGAAAAUAAAACAAUCAACAUCCUGCA